UACGGAGGGAGCUAGCGUUGUUCGGAAUUACUGGGCGUAAAGCGCACGUAGGCGGCUAUUCAAGUCGGGGGUGAAAGCCCGGGGCUCAACCCCGGAACUGCCCUCGAAACUAGGUAGCUAGAAUCUUGGAGAGGCGAGUGGAAUUCCGAGUGUAGAGGUGAAAUUCGUAGAUAUUGGGAAGAACACCGGUGGCGAAGGCGGCGAGCUGGUCCAUUACUGACGCUGAGGCGCGACAGCGUGGGGAGCAAACAGG
rnacentral:rRNA from 1 species